CGGGAUGUGGCUCACCGGUAGAACAUGUGCUUAGCAUGCAUGAGGCCCUGGGUUCAGUCCCCAGCAUCCCAA
rnacentral:tRNA from 1 species